GACAGAGGUGCCGAGCGUUAGGCGGAAUCACUGGGCUUAAAGCGUGUGUAGGCGGGCCAUCAAGUACCUUGUGAAAUCCCACGGCUUAACCGUGGAACUGCUUGGUAUACUGCUGGUCUUGAGGCAUCUAGAGGCAACUGGAACAAACGGUGGAGCGGUGAAAUGCGUAGAUAUCGUUUGGAACGCCCAAGGUGAAAACAGGUUGCUGGGGAUGUACUGACGCUGAGACACGAAAGCCAGGGGAGCAAACGGG
rnacentral:rRNA from 1 species